UGUCAGCCACAAUGUAGCGGUUUCCAGUCAAAAGUUUCCCUUCGAGUUUAAAGCCCUCGGGCUCCUUGCGCCCCCUUUUUUGUCUAAUUUAACGUCGACACGUCGUCCUCUAUUUUAGUUUCAAUUGAGAGAGAUUAGGUUGGAUUAAAACGAAGAAAUUUUGCGAAAAACUGAAAACGCUCUGUAUCAGCUAUUAGUUCAGAUUUAACGCUAUCUGUCGAAACAAUGCAUCCGGGAACAAGGCAGGAAAGGGAAAGCAGGACCUCAUGAAUAUGUAUGGCCGUGCUUGUGUAGAAUCAAAUCAUGAGGAACUGUGUCAAACGCCUUAGCCAGAUCCAAAAACACAGCAAGGAAAUUUUUGCCAUAAACUAAAUUAUUUGUAAUACCGCUCCGAAACCGGAAUUGUAUUCCGAUAAGAUAUUAUUGAUGUUAAAAAAAAAACAAUUAAUAAAUCCUUUAAGUAUU